CACUGCAGAUGAACCACACGCAGCCAAGGCAGCUCCCGGGAUUCCGAGGGGCUGCGGGUUCCGGAGAAAGCCUGAUUUCCAUCUGGUCCCCGGACACGUCUCCUGCCUUCUUAAGGAGUCGUUCAUCACACCCCGCCGGAAGGCGAUUGAGCCUCAGGACCUGGUCCACUGGAGCAGCCGCGGGCCCUCCCAGGCUUCCUGUCCGCUGCGGCCGCACGGGAUCCACACCACGUGUGUCUUCUGCCCAGGGCGCUGCUGUCACACAGAGCGCGGGAGGCAGAUUUACACGGAACUUCCUGAAUUGCUUUCUUUCCUAUUUUAUGAAAUACCUCUCUAAAUGUCUACAUAUAGCUCUCUUGAGGGACGGAGGGAGAAAAAUAGCAAUUAAAGUCUUGUCAUCCGA